CUAUCUGAAAACCUGCAGAAGUAGAUUGCACAUCUCAGGGAAAGCAUUCUCCAAUUGUUUUAUUUGUGAACGCCAUUGCUCAGGGCUCCAUAUGCACAUUCACAAACAUUAGUCGCCAAUGGAGCAGAGCGCCAUUGCUGAUGUAGCUUAAAAUGGUGAUCAGUGACCGACUGAGUGUGCUUGAAGUUUGAGGUGGAGUGCAAGGAGGAGGACACCCGGGUGGAGAUCUACUGCGCCGCCAAGCCGGGGCUACUGCUGUCGAUGGUGAGCACCCUGGACACACUCUCCCUCAACAUCCAGCAGUGCGUCGUCGACUGCUUCAACGACUUCGCCAUGCACGCCUCCUGCUCCGAGAUGCACAGGGAGAUGUGCUGCUGGAUCUUAUAAGGAGGUCACUCUGACAAGACUGGCUAGCUGUGAUUCUCGUGGGAAUAAAGAGGAUGGGACCUGUGAUUGUCGUGGAUCUGGAGGUGACACUGAUCAGGAAGGUAAGUUUACUACUGAUCUGGAGUAAUAUUACUAGAUUGCAAAUCACGAAUUUAGUAGUUACUGCAGAAUAUUGGUUAGUUGGUUCAGUUUACCUUUUAUGUUUAUAUGGUCUAACGACAUCUGACAUAGCAGAUGCUUGGUCCAGCUGGAGAUAGCUUACAUGGUUUUAUUUCACCAUAAUAUAUUUCCAACAAGAUCGUUCCCUAUUGUUUCCUGAAGAAAACUAACGAUCAAACUGUAGAAAAAACAUUGUUUAGAGAGGAGUUAAUAUACAGUUUGUAGUCUUGCAAUUGGCUUCUAAAAUUUACAGCAGGAGUACACAAUGAGUUUGAACAAAUGAAUGCAAAACCUACCAGAUUUUGCGAUGUUACUGUUUCUUGAUAUCUUCCUCAUUUGUAUUAUGUGAAUUCCUUAGUUGGCAGCUAUUUUAAUGUAUACUCUCCCCUUAUUUUGAGGAAACUUCACGGGGCAGAGGAUCACUACAAUUUUUUGUUUCAAAUAGGAAAUGAACAAAACAUGACUUUGCCAACCUCUCAUGUAGUAUAUAUGUACCUAUUUCAUAAAGUACAUCAGUGCAAAUACAAGUUUGCAACUCAUGACAAUGAGUCGAGGAGUGAAAGAAGUUUGGAACUCACACAAGUGUCAUACUCGCAUGACCAAAUCAGGCUACGAAGACAAGUCUUCAUGCGCACAUGAUUGCCGAUUUUAGUUACACAGUACCAUU